AUAUCAGUAAGCGGAGGAAAAGAAACCAACAGGGAUUGCCCUAGUAACGGCGAGUGAAGCGGCAACAGCUCAAAUUUGAAAUCUGCCUCGGCCCGAGUUGUAAUUUGCAGAGGAAGCUUCUGGCGCGGCGCCUUCCGAGUCCCCUGGAAUGGGGCGCCAUAGAGGGUGAGAGCCCCGUAUGGUCGGCUGCCUAGCCUGUGUGAAGCUCCUUCGACGAGUCGAGUAGUUUGGGAAUGCUGCUCAAAGCGGGUGGUAAAUUCCAUCUAAAGCUAAAUAUUGGCCAGAGACCGAUAGCGCACAAGUA
rnacentral:rRNA from 1 species